CAUAAAAAGAAGGUGUCCAGAGCUCACACCUUACCUCCCCAUUCUGAAGCUUAGCAAGUAGACUCCAUCGAUCAAGAGGCGAGCAUCUUCACAAAAUAGGACAGCGCUUCCUUCGUCAAGUUAUUGAUAACCAAGAAGCUUCAUGAAGUAAGAUAAAAGGCAGACAUAACAUUAUUUGCGCUGAUUCCGUCCCAGUCGGCUCUUGAGAAACAUCUCCACAGCACCUGUGCUUAUUAGACGCGUUGCUUUACAAGUGUUCAUUAAGGCUGAUAUAUACAUCACCAACACAACGACAAUGAACAGAAGCACGGCAAAGACAACAUGUCUAAUAUUGGCACUGUUUGUCUUGUUACAACUGUUAAGUCACGGUCAGGCACAGCCACACUUUUCUCUGAAAGACAGAUACCGAUGGAAACCCGGAAAACGUGCAAAUGCUGGUCUUCGGUUACCCGCUACCCUGAGUUUGUUAUUAAAACAGCUGAACAGCGAUUACAGAACACGAAUGGCACUGAAUGAUAUAGACAAUAUGUUCAACUCUGCAGAAGAUGACGCGGUCAAAGAAGAAUAUUAACACGCAUUAAAUAUUAGUAUGUCCUAGCGCCCUCUUACGGCAAGUAGUUGUCCUGGGAUGUAUCGCCUCGCCACGUGGUACCGUACCGUAUCGUUUGUUCAAAUAACUUCUUACUCAAAGGUGGAAUGAGGUCAUAUUACCCCCCCUCUCAUUUAUAAUGUCAAUUUAAAGGAAUAGCAUAUUUGCUAUAUUUUUAUUUUCCUGUGCCUAGUGUCAUUGCGAUUUGAAGAAAAAAAUAAAUGAUUAUUUUCAAAUGAUGAUACAGUAAAUGAAUACACCACUGAAUUUUUUGUCAUAUUCAGUGGUGAUGGCACCAGGUCACCUGGCGAGUCACCUGGGGAUAUUUGUUCAACAUUUCUAAUGAUUUUUAUACUUUGUAAAUGUCAUCCAUAUUGGAUAAGACAUGCACGCCCUUCUUCUGGAUAUAUCGGCAUUAGUGAUGAAUGAGUAUGAGAAAUUUUACACACAACGGCUCCGCAGUCUAACCUCCAUCGAUUUCAGUUUUAGUGUCAUUGUUUUUAGCUGACAUACAUGUAAACUAGUAUGACAACUUAUCCAAACAGUCGUGGGUUUUCAAAAUAUAUCUUGCCAAUAUACUAAAGAAACAUCCACAAACUAAUAUUGAUAAUCCUAAUUGUUACUACCACAUAUCAUAUCAUUUAGUGUUCCAGGUGCCUGUGAGCAGUAAUCCCAUGUACGUCGUUAGUUUUCCCAAUCUAAAAGAUUACAUGUUGGUGCAUGUCUCCGUCGUUUAGUGUUUAAAUCUCCUUCCAUACUGUUAAUAUUUUCAGUUGUUAUAGUAACCAUUCGACACUACCACUCGUCUUUCCGACAUUUCAUUAACACACCGAGUGGCACAUUUAAUUUAAAUAUAUUAUUCAUGUUAAUGGUCGUUCAUUACACAAAUAUCGAUUAUCGAUUUUGGAAUUGUUAAGGAACAAUAUCAAGGAAACAGUAUAUGGGUUAAACAGUAUGAGCAGUUAUAUCUCGUCAACAGUUUAAUGAGGCUACAUAUUUAUGAAGAAUACAUUUAUAAUGCGAAUAAAAAUAAGCAUAAAUGUACCUAUGGUUGAAACUUGCAGUAUUACACAAAGUAGACACCGUUUUGUACAUUUGAUCUGUUGUUAAUGUUGACUUUUAUCUUCAAAAUAAAGUAAUUGGAGCAUAUGA
rnacentral:lncRNA from 1 species